UAAUACGUAGGGGGCAAGCGUUGUCCGGAUUUAUUGGGCGUAAAGAGCGUGUAGGCGGCCGCACAGGUCCGUUGUGAAAACUGGAGGCUUAACCUCCAGACGUCGAUGGAAACCGUGCGGCUAGAGUCCGGAAGAGGAGAGUGGAAUUCCUGGUGUAGCGGUGAAAUGCGCAGAUAUCAGGAAGAACACCCGUGGCGAAGGCGGCUCUCUGGGACGGUACUGACGCUGAGACGCG
rnacentral:rRNA from 1 species